rnacentral:rRNA from 1 species
UAUUAUGGAGAGUUUGAUUCUGGCUCAGGGUGAACGCUGGCGGCAUGCUUAACACAUGCAAGUUGAACGAAGACAAUAGAUUAAAACUUUGGUUUUACCUAUUGAAAUUAGUAGCGGACGGGUGAGUAACACGUGAACAUCUACCUUUAGGACAAGAAUAACCACUGGAAACGGGGGCUAAUACUUGAUAUGCUGAGAAGUUAAAGGAUUUCCGCCUUUAGAUGAUGUCGCGCUUGAUUAGCUUGUUGGUGGGGUAAUGGCCUACCAAGGCGACAAUCAAUAGCUGUUUUGAGAGAGAGAUCAGCCACACUGGGACUGAGACACGGCCCAGACUCCUACGGGAGGCAGCAGUGAGGAAUUUUCCGCAAUGGGCGAAAGCCUGACGGAGCAAUGCCGCGUGAAGGAUGAAGUUCUAAGGAGCGUAAACUUCUUUUCUUAAGAAAGAUAAUGACGGUACUUAAGGAAUAAGCAUCAGCUAACUAUGUGCCAGCAGCUGCGGUAAUACAUGGGAUGCAAGCGUUAUCCGGAAUGAUUGGGCGUAAAACGUCUGCAGGUGGUUUUGAAAGUCUAUUGUCAAAGACUAAGGCUCAACCUUAGGCCGGCAAUGGAAACUUCAUUACUAGAGUGGGGUAGAGGUAGAGGGAAUUUCUGGAGGAACGGUGAAAUGUACAGAUACCAGAAAGAACACCAACAGCGAAGGCACUCUACUGGGCCCAUACUGACACUCAGAGACGAAAGCUAGGGGAGCGACAAGGAUUAGAUACCCUUUUAGUCCUAGCUGUAAACGAUGAUGACUAGGUGUUGGUCUGUACGCGGAUCAGUGCUGUAGCUAACGCAUUAAGUCAUCUGCCUGGGGAGUAUGCUCGCAAGAGUGAAACUCAAAGAAAUUGACGGGGGCCCGCACAAGCGGUGGAGCAUGUGGUUUAAUUCGAUGCAACGCGAAGAACCUUACCGAGGUUUGACAUACUACAGCCUCUAUGUAGGCAACUUAAUCUGGAAACAGUAAAUUUUAAGGUAGUUACAGGUGGUGCAUGGCUGUCGUCAGCUCGUGUCGCAAGAUGUAUGGUUAAGUCCCGUAACGAGCGCAACCCUUAUGGUUAAUAACAGGUAUUAAAUUAUUAAAUUAGCCAGACUGCCAGUCUCAAACUGGAGGAAGGUGGGGACGACGUCAAGUCAGCAUGCCCCUUAUAUCUCGGGCUACACACGUGCUACAAUGGUUAAGACAAAGGGAAACAACCUUGCAAAAGUAAGUAAAGCUCACAAACUUAAUCUUAGUUCGGAUUGUAGGCUGCAACUCGCCUACAUGAAGGUGGAAUCGCUAGUAAUCGCAGGUCAGCUAUACUGCGGUGAAUACGUUCCCGGGCCUUGUACACACCGCCCGUCACACCAUAAAAGUUGAUUAGGCCCGAAGUCGUUGUAAACGCCGAAGGCAUGGUUAGUAAUUAGGGUGAAGUCGUAACAAGGUAGGGCUACUGGAAGGUGGCCCUGGAUCACCUCCUUC